CAGGGCCUCCCGUCUCUAACCCUACACAUGCUAGCUUUCCUGUGUGCAGGGCCAAGUUCCCUCUGUCCCCAGUGCCCUUCUUGGAACCCACGAGGCCCUCACCUCUUCUCUCUUCACCUAGAGUCACUUUCCCAAGACCAUCCAACCCUGUACUCCCUUCCUGAGGUCAUCAGGAACUUUGUAUGGAUUUUGCUCUUUUGUCUUGUUCGCUGUCUGGCUCCCCUCCAUGGUGACAGCCACCAGACCCUGGGCAAUGCCCGGCUACAGGGCUUACUGACCAUGCACCACAGCCAGGAAGAGGCCCCCACCAGACCAAACCACACAGCCACCCUGGACCCCAGCUCCCAGAAGCACGGGGAAACAAACAUCCGUUGCCUAAACCCCAGGCUGACAUCUUGUCACAGUAGCCAGAGUGGACUCAGGUCCACAGCGGAGUCGAGGAAGGCUUCCUGCAGAGCCAAUGUGGCCAUCCUUGGGGGAGCCAGGCCGGGCCAACCCCUCUCCCACCACACAGCAGCCUGGCUGCAAAUGCGGGAAGCUUCUUGGGGACUUCAUGGCUCCACUGCAGGCACAGAGGCCAGCCUGGAUGAGAGACCAGGCACCCUCCGCAGUCCAGCCAGGGCCCUGGAGCAGGGCAAAGAGGCAGAAAGAUCACGGGUACUGAGCCCCAGAUUUCCGCUGCCCCUGCUGCCCUGGCAGAGGAAACAGAGAACAAGGCCCCCACCCACCCAGCUCCCACCCUGGGGGCAGCUUGGAAGUGGGGAUCUCGGCCAGGCUCUGAAUGACAGAAACCAUCAGGACAUGGAAAAACAAGACCUAUAAAGAAAUACACAUUUUAUACAUCAGUUUAAUUAAAGUACAUUAAAAUGAGUUUGCUUAAAUAAAAAAAAAAAUUA
rnacentral:lncRNA from 1 species